rnacentral:rRNA from 1 species
UGAACGCUGGUGGUUGCUUCCACAUGCUAUAUCGAACGAACAAAUUGGGGCUUGCUCCAAUUUUAGUGAGUGGCAAACGGAGUAACACGUGUGGAAUCUACCUAUCAGUACGGAAUAACAUUUGGAAGACAGAUGCUAAUGACCGUAUAUUCUCCAAGGAGGAAGGAUUACUCGCUGACUAGACUGAGCCCGCGCAAGAUUAGGUAGUUGGUAGGGUAAUGGCCUACCAAGCCGACAAUCUUUACCUGGUCUGAGCGGAUGAUCACGACAGCACUGGGACUGAGACACGGUCCAGACUCCUACGGGAGGCAGCAGUGACGUGAAUUUUCUUGCAAUUGGGCGAAAAGCCUGA